rnacentral:rRNA from 1 species
UACGUAGGGGGCAAGCGUUACUCGGAAUUAUUGGGCGUAAAGGGCGCGUAGGCGAUUUGAAAAGUCUUGUGUGAAAGCCCCGAGCUUAACUCGGGAAGUGCACAAGAAACUGUUGAAUUUGAGUUCCGGAGAGGAAGGCAGAAUUCCCGGUGUAGCGGUGAAAUGCGCAGAUAUCGGGAGGAAUACCAGUGGCGAAGGCGGCCUUCUGGACGGAUACUGACGCUGAGGCGCGAAAGCCAGGGGAGCAAACGGG